CUGCACUACAUCAGGACUUUCUGUUUCUUUCCAAAGUCAUGACUUCUCUAGAAAAGGUAAUUCCUUGCUUGGCUACUACUUGUGGGUUUUGGUUUGUUUGUUCAUUUGUUUGGUUUUGGUAGGGCUUUUGUUGUUUGUUUUCUUUGCUUUUUGGGUUUCGUUUUAUUGUUGUUGUUAUUUACUAAUUUGUUUGGCUUUUGGGGAAUCAGGAGGAUGAAUAUCCUUCUACUUUCUUUAGCAAGAAAUCCUUCCUUUUUUUAGAGAGAGAGAGAGAGAGAGAGCACGGGCACAAGGGAAUGGGGACAGGGAGGGGCAGAGGACAAGGGAGAGAAUCUCAAGCAGGCUGCACUCCCAGCACAGAGCUCAACAUGGGGCUUAAUCUCAAGACCCUGAGGAUCAUGACCUGAGCUGAAAUCAAGAGUCAGACGUUCAACUGACUGUGCCACCCUGGCACCCUCCCACCACCACCACCUUCUUAAGUGGAAUGUACUAAACAAAACUUGUCUGAUGACUCAGGGACCUCACUGAGACCCUCGUAAUUGAAACGUCCCUUAAAUGUGGAUGCAAUUGGGGGUGUUGACGAGGUCACUGUGGGAGGUAGAGGAGUGGGGAUCCUAUGAGAAGAUCCAAUCCUCGAUGCUGGUAGUUUCUUGCUACUUUUCCUCUGUCUGGUAAAUGUGAGAUUAAGCUGAUGAAGCCACAUGCCCUUCUGACUAGUAGGAAAACAUGUACUUCCCAUAAAACUAAGUUAGGACACCUGGGUGGCUCUGUCAGUUAAGCAUCUGCCUUCGGCUCAGGUCGUGAUCUCAAGGUCCUGGGAUCGAGUCUGGCACCAGGCUCCCUGCUCAGCAAAAGUCUGCUUCUCCCUCUCCUUCCACUUCUUCCCACAGUUAGUGCUCUCUCUCUCUCUUGCUCUCUUCUAAAAUAAGUAAAUAAAAUCUUUAAAAAAAAAAAAACAAAACAAGCUCAUCGGAAAAGCCAAAAGGAAGCAGCCUCAUUCCGAGGGUUUUCCAGGUGCCCCAAAUCACCAUCCUCUCUCCUCUCUCCAGGUGCAGCCCACCAUGGGACUGCAUGUGACCAGAGCUGCAUGUCACAAAGUCCAGUGACCAAUGCGCUUCCCGUCAGCUUGCCCACUCUAUGUGACCACAGCCCUGGCAGGGACCUCGACAGUGCUCAUGAUGGCUGUAAAGACCAGACCGAUGGGGAGUAAUGUCAUGAAGUGACCAGGCUGACACUGCCUGAACCCACAGAACAACUCACAUCAUUAAAAAUGGGAUCACCAGGGGUGCCCAGGAGCUUAGUGGUUGAGCAUGUGUCUCUGGCUCAGGUUGUGAUCCCAGGGUCCCGGGUUUGAGUCCCACAUCAGACUCCCCACAGGGACCCUGCUUCUCCCUCUGCCUAUGUCUCUGCCUCUCUCUAUGCUUCUCAUGAGUAAGUAAAUAAAAUCUUAAUAAAUAAAUAAAUUAAUUUUUAA
rnacentral:lncRNA from 12 species